rnacentral:rRNA from 1 species
UACGUAGGUGGCAAGCGUUAUCCGGAUUUACUGGGUGUAAAGGGCGAGUAGGCGGGAUUGCAAGUCAGAUGUGAAAACUAUGGGCUCAACCGAUAGAGUGCAUUUGAAACUGCAGUUCUUGAGUGAUGGAGAGGCAGGCGGAAUUCCCGGUGUAGCGGUGGAAUGCGUAGAUAUUAGGAGGAACACCAGUGGCGAAGGCGGCCUGCUGGGCUUUAACUGACGCUGAGGCUCGAAAGCGUGGGGAGCAAACAGG